GAGUGUAUAGUUCAAGUGGUAGAGCACAUGCUUAGCAUGCAUGAGGUCCUGGGUUCAAUCCCCAGUACCUCCA
rfam:Camelus ferus unplaced genomic scaffold scaffold256, whole genome shotgun sequence.